GCGCGAAAACUUUGCAAUGCGGGAAACCGUGACAAGGGAACUCUGAGUGCCCGUAAAAUCGGGCUGUCCAUCGGUUUAAAUAACCGGUGAAGAAAGGGCCGGGCAAGACCGGUGCCAGCCGCCGCGGUAAUACCGGCGGCUCGAGUGGUGGCCACUAUUACUGGGCUUAAAGCGUUCGUAGCUGGUUUGUUAAGUCUCUGGGGAAAUCUUCCGGCUUAACCGGAAGGCGUUUCAGGGAUACUGGCAGACUAGGGACCGGGAGAGGUGAGAGGUACUCCAGGGGUAGGAGUGAAAUCCUGUAAUCCUUGGGGGACCACCUGUGGCGAAGGCGUCUCACCAGAACGGCUCCGACAGUGAGGGACGAAAGCUGGGGGAGCAAACCGG
rnacentral:rRNA from 1 species